rnacentral:tRNA from 3 species
UCCCCUUUAGCUCAGUGGUUUUAGAGUUUCGUGCUUAUGUCACGAAUGUCGGCAGUUCAAUCCUGUCAAGGGGAA